rnacentral:rRNA from 1 species
AGCAGCCGCCGCGGGAAUACAGAGGGUGCGAGCGUUAAUCGGAUUUACUGGGCGUAAAGCGUGCGUAGGCGGCUUCUUAAGUCGGAUGUGAAAUCCCUGAGCUUAACUUAGGAAUUGCAUUCGAUACUGGGAAGCUAGAGUAUGGGAGAGGAUGGUAGAAUUCCAGGUGUAGCGGUGAAAUGCGUAGAGAUCUGGAGGAAUACCGAUGGCGAAGGCAGCCAUCUGGCCUAAUACUGACGCUGAGGUACGAAAGCAUGGGGAGCAAACAGGAUUAGAGACCCCUGUAGUCCCUGUCUCUUAUAC